GGAGUCUGGGCCGUGUCUCAGUCCCAGUGUGGGGGGCCUUCCUCUCAGAACCCCUAUCCAUCGAAGGCCCGGUGGGCCGUUACCCCGCCGGCUGCCUAAUGGAACGCAUCCCCAUCCCUAUCCGACAAAAUGCCUUUGCCCACGGGAACAUGCGGACCCGUGGGAACAUCGGGAAUUAAUCCCUCUUUCGAGGGGCUGUGCCCGAGAUAGGGCCAGGUUGGAUACGCGUUACUCACCCAUCCGCCGGUCGCCGCCAGGGACAUUGCUGCCCCAUGCGCUGCCCCGCGACUUGCAUGUGUUAAGCCUGUAGCUAGCGUUCAUC
rnacentral:rRNA from 1 species